rnacentral:lncRNA from 10 species
GGGCAGGAUGCAGGAAGGCCACAAUGGGUAGUGCAGUGCUCUGGGUCAGUGACAGCUAAGUUCUCACCAUCCCUAGGUCCUGGAUGGGGCAGGAGGACAGAGUCACACAGAGGAGACCAUCUUGAGAAGAGCAGUGACCUCUCAGGUGACUCAGGAGUGACUCAGGACAAAGUCUGAAGCAGCCGCUCCAGGAGUGACCCUGAGGAGAAGGAGUCUACCCUCACUCCAUUUCCUUCCCUCAUUGGCCACACCCAACCAGAGACCAGAGGGGAAGGGAGUCCCUGAUGUGGUCCAGACAGAGGAGUUUGAAAUUCUUGCUUCAGGCCAUAUGGAGUGGAUAUUCCUUCCAGAAGGAAAUUACAGACCACUCUCUGUUUCUACUCAACUGCUUUUCACUCCAGGAUGCUUCACCUCUUGGGGCCUUCCCCAGCAGAGGCCCAGGAUCACCUGCAAAAGGCUUCCCCAAGGGUGGGGCCAGAAGCAGGGCUGCAGAUAUGUGUCCUGAACCUCCCAUGGACCCUGCUGGCUCCCUUCAAAGGCUUCGGGCAUAGCGACUUGCCUUUCCGUCUUGUUCAGUCGUCACCAGUCAGCCGUCUGCAGACUUCUCUCCCUCACGUUGUGGCAGAGGAGUUGUACAUUCUCUAGAUUUUAAAAAUAUAUAAGUUACUUUUUCUUUAAAAUAAAAAUUGUCUCUGAAAUAAGCUCCCA